rnacentral:sRNA from 1 species
UAAAUCCAAAUAUUUUAUGAUUAUUUCUUUUAACAAAUGCCUGUUAAUAAAUUCUAAAUUACAAUAUAUUAAUAUUUUAAAAACCCAUUCUAACAAAUUAUACAUAUUAAAAAACAAAGGUUUUGCAACUUAUUUUUUAAACGUUUAAAUUAUAAAAGAUGAAUUUAACCGCCUAUUUUGCCUUUAGAAAAGUUAAUAUGUAAUAGAAAUACUAGCAACGUUCGGAUUAAUUAAUUGGAAACCUAUUUUUAUUUCUUUAUAACCGGGUAUAUUGAAAUAGAACCGGGGUAAACCCGUAAAUGCGCUGGAAAUUAAAUUAUUACAACGUAUUAUCGGUACCCUAAUAUAUUUAAUAUUAUUAAAGCGCCCGGAUAUUGGUUUUGCGAUUUAAGAAUCAUUUCGUUUUUUAAUAAAAACUAUUAUAAUCCAUUUAACGGCAGCUAAAAACCUAUGUCACUAUUUAGCAGGUAUUAAAUCCCUAAUAAUUUGCUAUGGAAAUAGGGUAAUUAAAACCAAUUUACCACCUAAUCUUUUAAUUGGGGGUUUUAAAGGCCUAAAAUUAUUUGGUUUUAAUAACAGCGAUUUUGCCGGGGCUAGAUAAAAUUUAAACUUUAUUUACGGAUAUUUAUAUAUUUUAUUUGGGGGGCCUAUAUUCUGUAAAUGCAAAAAUGCUAAUAUUUUAAUUUUCAAUAUUUUAAAAACCGAAAGUAAUAUUUUAAUAAAAACCCUGCGUAAAAUAUAAUAACUUAAAAACCUUUUAAUUAAUAUUAUAUAUUAAUAACGUAUUAAAUAUACGUUAUAAAAGUUUUAUUAUAUACGAAAAUUAAUUACAAAAGAAUUAAUAAAUUUAAAAUAUUUGCAAUUUUAACAAAUAAUUGUUUAUAAUCUUACAAAACCCCUAACGUAUCCAAUUUACAAAGUUUUUUCAAAACCUAUCAAAUUUAAACUCCGGUAAAUCUUUUUGUUAUUUAUUAAAACUUAAAAUACCCAAUUAGUCCGUUUGCUAAUUAUUAUUACGGCCAGGUGUAUAUUGGAAAACCUUAGGGUAUUAGGCGCUUUCGAUGGAAAUUUUAAAUUAAAGAGAAGAGAGAAAUUACAAUUGACGACGCGCUGGACAGACGCGCUUAAAUCCGGAGUUAGUGGACCCUUUGUCCGAUCCCUAGUUCGGCGUGGAACCGAGCUGUAAUUCUAAGGGUAGGUCUGGGGGCCUAAUCCUUACAAUUAUAAUUAUUAUUUUCUUUUAUAUGCAGUUAUUGGAUUUUUUUGGCUCAAUUCUAACCGUUUUACCCGAGCUUACCCUGCACAGGUUAAUUAAUAUACCGUUAAAACCGAUUUAAUAUCCGAGGUUAAAUCCGAAUUAAACUAGUACGCGUUUUGGGCGAUUUACCAAUUCGAAACAAUUUAUAUAUUAAAUUUGUCUGGAAUGUUAAAUAAUAAACAACCAAAUUAACUAUUUAAUCUACUUAUUAAUUCCGUGGGUUAUAAUUUAUAAGUUGUGGGUUCGAAUUUGGGGGUUAUUAUAAUUUCAAGGGUUUUUUCAAUUCGGGGGUUUUAUUACGCUUAAAAUAUUAAAAUAACCUAUUUUUAUAAUAAUACAUAGUGAGUUAAAACAGCUGAGCGUUUAAUUGGGUAAUUGGGGUUCCUAAUAGGUUAAAAUAAAAUUAUAAUCGAUUAUAUAACGAGGUUAAUUACUGCUAAACAAUUUUAAAAUUGAGUUUAUUAAUACGGUAAUAAGCGCGCCUUAUAUAAAUUAUAUUAUAAAUAUAAUUUAUUUUAGUUCCUACAAAUUAAUUAAAUUACUUUUUGCCGCUAAUGUUAAUUUUUACAAACUAAUAAAAAUUAUUUUGGGGUAAUUACGUAACACUACGUAAUUUGUUUGGGCGGGUGUCGUUAGUAGGGGUAUAACCUCGCCUGGUUCCCUCUGGUUCCGGCCCAAUUAUUUAAUUGUAACAAACUUAUUUAAUUUGGGGUUUAAUUAUCCAGGGGGUUUAUAUCGGGGGUUUUAAUCGGGUUAGAAUAUAAAAGGGAGUUUUUAUUUUAUUUUUUAUAUAAAAUAGCAAAGUAAAAGGGGGUUUUAAUUAUAUACUCUUUUUUAUAUAUAAUAAAUCCAAUUUUAUUUAUAUAUAAUUUAUAAUAUAUAACGCCGAAAUAGGGUUAUUAAAAUUUUAUUAA